AAUCUCACACCACUUCCUAGUUGGAGCAAUUAAACAAUAGAGAAGAUGGGUAUUCUGGAGCAGAAUUUAAUGAAACAGAACUCCACCAUCUAUGGCAAGUUUGACUGCUUGAGUCUCCAGAGGAUAAUAGUUGGAGGCCACUGAGGCCCAAAUUCAUCAGUCCGGCCAUUGAAGGACACAAGUGAACAAAGGAGGACGGCAAAGACAGAACUGUGAUAUUCAAACACUCAAUAGCUCACAGUGUCGGGGUUCAUUAUGACACUUACUAAGCACAUGCCAUAUUUCUGACACUGUGCUAAGAGUUUCAUGAACAUUAACUAAAUUAACCCCAUAAAAACGCCAUUAGAAAGAUGCAGUUUUGUACCCCCUUACACAGAUGAAGAAAAUAAAGUAUAGAGACUUUAAGAAAUUUGCCAGAAGUCUUAUAACUGGCUAGCCUGGACUUCUUUUUGUGGAGACUGGAUUCCAAGAUUGAAAGUAGAAGCUACAUGUUUUCUCCAAGCAGGGCUUUCAGACUUCACUUCUGCAACAUUUUAUUGAUGAAAGCAAGUCACAAGACCAGACUGAUUCAAGGGGUGGAGAAAUAGACCCUACUUCUUGAUGGAGGGAGGAGUAGAGUUACAUUGCAAAGGGAUCUGGACAAAAAAAGGAGUGAUUUAUUAGGAAUCAUGUUUAACAAUUUACCACAAUCCCCAGCGCAACUGCCUGUUAGCUGGAUCCAGAAAUGUCUACGACUACUGCAAUGCCACUUGGCCUUAGGGGUGAUGUGACCCAGUGUAAAGAGAUGGUGGUCUUAACCAAUCACAGUUAAGAUAGUUUAGUUUUGGAAGGUAUAAAAAAUAUGUAACAACAUGAAUGCACUUUUAGGGUCAGACAAGAGACUUGGAAAGAGCCUGCAAAAUGGAGGAGCCCUGAGGCCUAAGUCUCAUGAGUGUCAAUGCUUACCUGUAUCUAGACACUGGCAUCCCCCUUUUGAUAAGGCCAAGAUUGAUUGUUUUCCUUUUCUACCUACCCUAUAUCUAAUCCAUGUACAAACACUGUUGACACACAAAAGAACCCUAAAUUCAACAAUCUGUGAAGAAUUUUUGCACUAACAUGUUAGUUCAAAAACUCAACAUUGCUUGCUAAGACUAUUGCAAUAAACUCCUCUAUGAUCC
rnacentral:lncRNA from 1 species